rnacentral:rRNA from 1 species
UACGGGGGGAGCAAGCGUUGUUCGGAUUUACUGGGCGUAAAGGGCGCGUAGGCGGUCAGCACAAGUCAGUUGUGAAAUCUCCGGGCUUAACUCGGAAAGGUCAACUGAUACUGUGCGACUAGAGUGCGGAAGGGGCAACUGGAAUUCUCGGUGUAGCGGUGAAAUUCGUAGAUAUUGGGAAGAACACCGGUGGCGAAGGCGGCGACCUGGUCCUUGACUGACGCUGAGGCGCGAAAGCGUGGGGAGCAAACAGG